UACGGGGGGGGCAAGCGUUGUUCGGAAUUACUGGGCGUAAAGGGCUCGUAGGCGGCCAACUAAGUCAGACGUGAAAUCCCCAGGCUCAACCUGGGAACUGCGUCUGAUACUGGAUGGCUUGAAUCCGGGAGAGGGAUGCAGAAUUCCAGGUGUAGCGGUGAAAUGCGCAGAUAUCAGGAGGAACACCGGUGGCGAAGGCGGGUCUCUGGGCCGAUACUGACGCUGAGGAGCGAAAGCGUGGGGAGCAAACAGG
rnacentral:rRNA from 1 species